ACUGUUGAAGGUGGGAAGUUUUGAAGGUAGGAUACAGGCAGGAAUUUAAUGAAUAUCUGUAAGCAACGAUAAGCAAUUGCUAACGAAAAAACGAUUUUGAACGGAGUUCAAAUGAUAGUUUUGUUUUGUCGACAAUGUAUAUAUGUCAUAUUAUGGUAAAAUGAUUACGCAUGCAUUAAACAUUUUCUUCAAUAAUAUUUGUUU